GUCCAGCUGUGUCAGAGGACAAGAUCACCAUUCUCAAAUAGUCUUUGCUGCUCUGAAGGAGGGCAGUUUGUGAGAGUCCUGCCUAAUAGGCUUCUGACAGGGCCAGCUGGUUAUUCUUCCUGCAGCAAGUGAUAGUGAUAUCUCAGUAGAAGUUUAGACACAUAGAACAUGUUCCAGGUGAUUACUGGGAUAAAUCUCUACAUAUUCUCUGCACAGAUUUGAUGCUUAGACUAGUAAGACUGCCAGACUCCCAGGGAAAAGGUCUAUGUCCUCCACAUGCACUAAAGGAAUUAGGAGUCUUGUGUUGUUCUGGUAGUGAUGGAAGGAAAAAAAAAAGUGCUCAACCUUGCCCUUUCCCCUUUUUAGUCUGAAUCAACACAAGAAAAAAGUAAGUUAUUUGUUAUAUUCUCUUCCUUCUGUUUGGCUGUUUUCCUUAGCUCAGAAGAAGGAUGUUUUGAACAGUUAGUGAUCAUUGAUUAUACCACAGUUUCAAAAAUGAAUGCCAUACCUACUACAAUGUCCUUUCCAGAUUUUACUUGUCUCUAAAUAUGGGGAAAGGAGGAUGUUGAAGGAGGAGUCUGCUCCUCUCCCUGCUCUGCUUUUUCUGUCAGUGCAUUAAUGUCUCAUGCUGGGACUCCCACCCAUACACAGGGCUGAUUUUACACUGAUCUUUAUGGCCUACAAAUUAUUGUGGUUUGGAUACAAAUCUUCUAUGCAGAAGGGCUUUCAGUAGGACAUGUGUGAGACUGAGCAUGCACUGCUGUUCCUCACUGCCCUAUCAGUCACAGU
rnacentral:lncRNA from 1 species